GAUGAACGCUGGCGGCGUGCCUAACACAUGCAAGUCGAGCGAUUCUCUUCGGAGAAGAGCGGCGGACGGGUGAGUAACGCGUGGGUAACCUGCCCUGUACACACGGAUAACAUACCGAAAGGUAUGCUAAUACGAGAUAAUAUGCUUUUAUCGCAUGGUAGAAGUAUCAAAGCUCCGGCGGUACAGGAUGGACCCGCGUCUGAUUAGCUAGUUGGUAAGGUAACGGCUUACCAAGGCGACGAUCAGUAGCCGACCUGAGAGGGUGAUCGGCCACAUUGGAACUGAGACACGGUCCAAACUCCUACGGGAGGCAGCAGUGGGGAAUAUUGCACAAUGGGCGAAAGCCUGAUGCAGCAACGCCGCGUGAGCGAUGAAGGCCUUCGGGUCGUAAAGCUCUGUCCUCAAGGAAGAUAAUGACGGUACUUGAGGAGGAAGCCCCGGCUAACUACGUGCCAGCAGCCGCAGUAAUAC
rnacentral:rRNA from 1 species